UUCCCUUGGCACCGUCACCUCGUCACGACGAGUCAAGCUAGGGUUUCGCUGGUCGAUUUCUCCGGCGACGGCGCGAUGGACCAGGAGCUCGUGAUGCGAUGGAGCCCCCCCUCCUCCGCGUCCCCGGCGCCGCCCCCUCCUCCUCGCCACCCCCGGUGGUCUCCUCUCUGGCCCCCCCUCCUCAUAGCUGCGCCGACUGCGGGGGUGGACUAGGAGCUCGGGAUGCGGUUUCGUACCUUCACGGCGGCCGCCCCCGCCGUUCUCAACACCUCCGGGCGGUGGAUCUGCAGGCCCACGCCGGUGCCUGGUACAUUUGUCUAUCUCUCUCCCUCCACUCCUCUCUUCCCAUCUCAGAUCCAGAUCCACACAUGCACAGACACACGACAGAUGGGGCAAGCGGCAGCAAGGGCUAGCAGCUAGAUCGGCACAGCGGAGGCUAGCUCGUCGUGGAGCGGCGUGGCUCAUCUCCGUAGCAGCCUGGGCACAAGGGGCCCUGGUCUAUUUUCGCUCGAGCUGACUCAGUACUAGCGGAUUGUUAGUCUGUUUGUUUUCUCAGGUUAGGUUGUUUAGGCCUGGUGUCUGAAUUGCAGAUGAAAUGAAUUCUGUUCCAACUUGGAAAAGUUUGGUUCGCAUUCACAUGUCUGAUACUUGUUUGUUUUCUGAUGAACAAUUCCCUGCAUGUAGAGAUUUUAGCUCUUAAUGUUUUUCCGAUGCGGAAUUAUUGGAUUUGUUUUUCGUGAUCUACCAUAAUGAUAAUGGAAUUCUAUGGGUAUGUGAAUUCAGAACUAUAUCACUAGAGCAUUCAAGCCACCAUGUGACAUCUCGAUUACAUUCUCUGAUGCGAGGACCAUGAAGCAGGUACAGUGCUUAUACCCUCAUGUUGCUGCCAGUUGGGUUUCACACCGGAGGUAUAUAUGCAACUUGCUACCACCACUUUCACUUUUCUGAAAUAGAUGUAUAGCUUAUUUACUUUCUCAUUGAGAUAUACAUUAUAUCUGUUUCAGAUUCUUAGCUUCUAAAUUCUGUCUUUGUGAAUUACAAAAAUAUCAGAACUUUAUUUUGUUGAGAGAAACCUAUGCAAAGACCCCCCCCCCCCCCACCAAUACGAAGACUGUGUUGUCAAUAAUUAUAUGCUAUGACCUAAUAAUGAAAUCUAAAAUUUAGUCUUCUGAUACUCUGAAGUCCAUGUGUUGUGAUUCUUCACAUUUUUGUUGAUUUAUGAUAUAAGGUUGACAGAAUAUCUCACGAGUUAUUCUUUACCAGGGACCUCACUCUGACUUUGCUGGGCCGACAUGUGGGAGUACAGCAUGUGUAACACUAGUGAUUGUCAGCGCACCAUUGGUCUUCUUUUAUUCGGGAAGUUGUUAGAGCCUUUAUGGGGUUCAAAAGAAUUAUCAAAGUUCAUAUUUAUUGUGAACUUUUUAACUUCUGCAUGUGUCUUCAUAACUGCUAUUGUGCUGUAGUAUAUAACUCAGCAAGAGAUCUACCUGUAAGUACUGUUUCUCUAGAAGCUUAUGCAUUGAUGUUUUCCUUUUUUUUAACAGACUGGAUAGAGAGCAAGGCCACUAGAUAUGCUAGAAACAUGCAAUUCAAAGAGUAUUUAGGUACCUGUGGGUGUUUUGUUUUUUCAUAUGCAGGAGGGUGUAUUCUAACUGAGAUUUUACUGCCUAAAAAAAUGCUCCUGUUUUGUCCAGCAAAAUAGAAAUGAUGGAUGCUAAGCUGCAAAUUGUCUCAACUUAUGCUUAUUAUUUUAGCUGAUAUCCAUUAUUAUAUUCAUUUUACAUUUAGAGAUCAUUGCAAGUCUGCAAUUGUGUCGUCCUCCCCCCUCCUCUGCCUAAAAAGUACUUAUGCUGAUCUUUAAACUUUUGAUUUGUUAAAUUUUCAUACUUAUGCAUGAGCAUUGGUCAUGCUUAAGGUGGCUAUACAUUUCUGCUAGCACGUUUUCUGUUAUAACCUUUCAUGGAUCCCCUACAAUUUGGGAUAUUUGCAGCCUGCAAGGCUAGGAAACUAUGCUUCUUGUUUUAAGUACUUUUUAUUUCUAAACAUUCAUCAGAUAUGAAGGCUAGGAAACUAUGCUUCUUGUUUUAAGUACUUUUUAUUUCUAAACAUUCAUCAGAUAUGUUUUAUGAUUAGAAAGUUAUGUAUUUAAGACUUGGCUGUUAUUUUUGCUGUCUCAUGGCAGAUAACAUCUUAGAUCAUCUUGGCUGUUAUUGAUCAAGCCAAUGGACCUUCUGGAAUAAAAUUAACUGAGGACUUUAAGUGGUAGUUAAUUGACAUUAGCUCGAGGACCAAGUACAAUUUCUAUGCAAUUGCAAUUCUUCUUUUUGCUGGAGAUUGAUAUAUUGUCCAGAUGCAGGUGCCAUAGUGCUAAUGGUGGGCUGGUAUACAAGAAGAUAAUUGCAAUGGCAUUAGAGAUCAUAGUUGAUUUGUAUGAGUUCAAUUGAUUAAGCUUGUGUAUGACUGCAAUUCAUGGCUGUGUGCUGUGUAUAAUGGAUAAAAUCUAUGUACUUGCAAUUCAUUCAUGGCUCUAUUUUGUACUGUAUAUAGUGGACAAAACCUGUGUAUCUAUCGUAUAUAUAAAGGAUGAAAAAUGUGUAUUUGUGAUGUAUAUAUAAGAUAUAUUUUAUUC